AUUAAAACUAGUUUACAUACACUUAGGUUGGAGUCAUUAAAACUAGUUUACAUACACUUAGGUUGGAGUCAUUAACUAGUUUACAUACACUUAGGUUGGAGUCAUUAAAACUAGUUUACAUACACUUAGGUUGGAGUCAUUAACUAGUUUACAUACACUUAGGUUGGAGUCAUUAACUAGUUUACAUACACUUAGGUUGGAGUCAUUAAAACUAGUUUACAUACACUUAGGUUGGAGUCAUUAAAACUAGUUUACAUACACUUAGGUUGGAGUCAUUAAAACUAGUUUACAUACACUUAGGUUGGAGUCAUUAAAACUAGUUUACAUACACUUAGGUUGGAGUCAUUAAAACUAGUUUACAUACACUUAGGUUGGAGUCAUUAACUAGUUUACAUACACUUAGGUUGGAGUCAUUAGAACUAGUUUACAUACACUUAGGUUGGAGUCAUUAAAACUAGUUUACAUACACUUAGGUUGGAGUCAUUAAAACUAGUUUACAUCCACUUAGGUUGGAGUCAUUAACUAGUUUACAUCCACUUAGGUUGGAGUCAUUAAAACUAGUUUACAUACACUUAGGUUGGAGUCAUUAACUAGUUUACAUACACUUAGGUUGGAGUCAUUAACUAGUUUACAUACACUUAGGUUGAAGUCAUUAACUAGUUUACAUACACUUAGGUUGGAGUCAUUAACUAGUUUACAUACACUUAGGUUGGAGUCAUUAACUAGUUUACAUACACUUAGGUUGGAGUCAUUAACUAGUUUACAUACACUUAGGUUGGAGUCAUUAAAACUAGUUUACAUACACUUAGGUUGGAGUCAUUAAAACUAGUUUACAUACACUUAGGUUGGAGUCAUUAAAACUAGUUUACAUACACUUAGGUUGGAGUCAUUAAAACUAGUUUACAUACACUUAGGUUGGAGUCAUUAAAACUAGUUUACAUACACUUAGGUUGGAGUCAUUAACUAGUUUACAUACACUUAGGUUGGAGUCAUUAACUAGUUUACAUACACUUAGGUUGGAGUCAUUAACUAGUUUACAUACACUUAGGUUGGAGUCAUUAACUAGUUUACAUACACUUAGGUUGGAGUCAUUAACUAGUUUACAUACACUUAGGUUGGAGUCAUUAACUAGUUUACAUACACUUAGGUUGGAGUCAUUAACUAGUUUACAUACACUUAGGUUGGAGUCAUUAAAACUAGUUUACAUACACUUAGGUUGGAGUCAUUAACUAGUUUACAUACACUUAGGUUGGAGUCAUUAGAACUAGUUUACAUACACUUAGGUUGGAGUCAUUAAAACUAGUUUACAUACACUUAGGUUGGAGUCAUUAAAACUAGUUUACAUACACUUAGAUUGGAGUCAUUAAAACUAGUUUAC